GACAAACGCUGGCGGCGUGCCUAACACAUGCAAGUCGAACGCUCUCUCGCAAGAGAGGGAGUGGCGGACGGGUGAGUACCACGUGGGUACCUGCCUCAAGGUGAGGAAUACCACCGGGAAACCGGUGACAAUACCGCAUAUCCUCUUUCGGGAGGAAAGUCGUAAGACGCCUUGAGAUGGGCCUGCGCCCGAUUAGUUGGUUGGUGAGGUAACGGCUCACCAAGACCGCGAUCGGUAGCUGGUCUGAGAGGAUGAUCAGCCACACUGGGAUUGAGAA
rnacentral:rRNA from 1 species